rnacentral:rRNA from 1 species
AUUGAACGCUGGCGGCACGCCUAACACAUGCAAGUCGAGCGGUAACAGGGUAUGUAGCAAUACAUACUGCUGACGAGCGGCGGACGGGUGAGGAACACGUAGGAACCUGCCCUUAAGCGGGGGAUAACUAAGGGAAACUUUAGCUAAUACCGCAUAAUCUCGAGAGAGGAAAGCUGCCGUAAGGUGGCACUUAAGGAGGGGCCUGCGUCCGAUUAGCUAGUUGGAGAGGUAAAGGCUCACCAAGGCGAUGAUCGGUAACUGGUCUGAGAGGACGACCAGUCACACUGGGACUGAGACACGGCCCAGACUCCUACGGGAGGCAGCAGUGGGGAAUAUUGGACAAUGGGGGCAACCCUGAUCCAGCGAUGCCGCGUGAGUGAAGAAGGCCUUCGGGUCGUAAAACUCUUUAGGUUGGGAAGAAGGUGAUUAGGUGAAUAGCCUAGUUGCUUGACGGUACCGACAGAAUAAGCACCGGCAAACUCUGCGCCAGCCGCCGCUGUAAAAC